GAGAAAACUUUAGAUAUGAUCCAGAGUACCACGGGACACGUGAAACCCUGUGGGAAGCAGGAGGGACCACCCUCCAAGGCUAAAUACUACCUAGUGACCGAUAGCGUAUAGUACCGUGAGGGAAAGGUGAAAAGAACCCCGGGAGGGGAGUGAAAUAGAACCUGAAACCCUGCACUUACAAGCUGUGGAAGCACAUUUCUUGUGUGACCGCGUACUUUUUGUAGAACGGGCCAACGAGUUACGUUAAGUAGCAAGGUUAAGCACUUAAGGUGUGGAGCCGUAGCGAAAGCGAGUUUUAACUGAGCGUUCAGUUACUUGACGUAGACCCGAAACCGGGCGACCUACCCAUGAGCAGGAUGAAGCGAAAGUAAAAUUUCGUGGAGGUCCGAACCCACGAGCGUUGAAAAGCUCGGGGAUGACUUGUGGGUAGCGGUGAAAUUCCAAUCGAGCCCGGAGAUAGCUGGUUCUCCCCGAAAUAGCUUUAGGGCUAGCCUCAAGGUGAGAGAUACGGAGGUAGAGCACUGAAUGUCCUAGGGGGUAUUGCACCUACCGAAGACUAUCAAACUCCGAAUGCCGUCAUCUUAUACUUGGGAGUCAGACUGUGGGUGAUAAGAUUCAUAGUCGAAAGGGCAACAGCCCAGAUCGUCAGCUAAGGUCCCUAAAUGUAAGUUAAGUGGUAAAGGAUGUGGGAUUGCACAGACAACCAGGAUGUUGGCUUAGAAGCAGCCACUCAUUCAAAGAGUGCGUAAUAGCUCACUGGUCGAGUGAUCCUGCGCCGAAGAUUUCCGGGGCUAAAACUUACUACCGAAGCUACGGCAUCAUUAUGAUGGGUAGGGGAGCUUCCCAUACGGGUUGAAGCAUGACCGUAAGGACAUGUGGACAGUAUGGGAGUGAGAAUGUUGGCAUGAGUAGCGAGAUGUGGGUGAGAAUCCCACAGGCCGUAAACCCAAGGUUUCCAGGGGAAGGUUCGUCCGCCCUGGGUUAGUCGGGACCUAAGCUGAGGCCGAAAGGCGUAGGUGAUGGACAACAGGUUGAUAUUCCUGUACUACCGAUAACCGUUUGAGAGAUGGGAUGACACAGUAGGAUAAGCUAAGCACACUGUUGGUUAUGUGUGCCCAAGCAUUGAGGCAGUCAGAGUAGGUAAAUCCGCUUUGAUAAUGCUGGGAUGUGAUGGGGAGCGAAAUUUAGUAGCGAAGUAGCUGAUUUCACACUGUCAAGAAAAGUCUCUAUCGAGGUUAAAGGUACCCGUACCGCAAACCGACACAGGUGGGUGAGGAGAGUAUCCUAAGGCCCGCGAGAGAACUGUUGUUAAGGAACUCGGCAAAAUGACCCCGUAACUUAGGGAUAAGGGGUGCCACCAUCCGGUGGCCGCAGAGAAUAGGCCCAAGCGACUGUUUACCAAAAACAUAGGUUUCUGCUAAGUCGCAAGACGAUGUAUAGGAGCUGACGCCUGCCCGGUGCUGGAAGGUUAAGGGGAUCUGUUAGAGCAAUCGAAGCAGUGAACUUAAGCCCCAGUAAACGGCGGCCGUAACUAUAACGGUCCUAAGGUAGCGAAAUUCCUUGUCGGGUAAGUUCCGACCCGCACGAAAGGCGUAACGAUUUGGGCACUGUCUCAACAACAGACUCGGUGAAAUUGUAAUUCCGGUGAAGAUGCCGGAUACCUGCGACAGGACGGAAAGACCCCAUGGAGCUUUACUGUAGCUUGACAUUGGGUCUUGGUACUACAUGUACAGGAUAGGUGGGAGGCUUUGAAACCAGGACGCCAGUUUUGGCGGAGCCAUCCUUGGGAUACCACCCUUGUAGUACUGGGACUCUAACCAUAGGCCAUGAAUCUGGUCUUGGGACACUGUCAGGUGGGCAGUUUGACUGGGGCGGUCGCCUCCCAAAAGGUAACGGAGGCGCUCAAAGGUUCUCUCAGUACGGUCGGAAAUCGUACGUAGAGUGUAAAGGCAAAAGAGAGCUUGAUUGCAAGACAUACAGGUCGAGCAAGGAUGAAAAUCGGACUUAGUGAUCCGGUGGUUCUGCGUGGAAGGGCCAUCGCUCAACGGAUAAAAGCUACCCUGGGGAUAACAGGCUUAUCUCCCCCAAGAGUCCACAUCGACGGGGAGGUUUGGCACCUCGAUGUCGGCUCAUCACAUCCUGGGGCUGUAGUAGGUCCCAAGGGUUGGGCUGUUCGCCCAUUAAAGUGGUACGCGAGCUGGGUUCAGAACGUCGUGAGACAGUUCGGUCCCUAUCCGUCGCAGGCGUAGGAAAUUUGAGAAGACCUGUCCUUAGUACGAGAGGACCGGGAUGGACGUACCUCUGGUGUACCAGUUGUUCUGCCAAGGGCAUGGCUGGGUAGCUAUGUACGGAAUGGAUAAGCGCUGAAAGCAUCUAAGCGCGAAGCCAACUUCAAGAUAAGAUUUCCCACCG
rnacentral:rRNA from 1 species